rnacentral:rRNA from 1 species
UACGUAGGUGGCAAGCGUUGUCCGGAUUUACUGGGCGUAAAGAGCGCGCAGGCGGUCGUUCAAGUCGCGUGUGAAAGCCCCCGGCUCAACUGGGGAGGGUCACGCGAUACUGAUCGACUCGAAGGCAGGAGAGGGUAGUGGAAUUCCCGGUGUAGUGGUGAAAUGCGUAGAUAUCGGGAGGAACACCAGUGGCGAAGGCGACCACCUGGCCUGUUCUUGACGCUGAGGCGCGAAAGCUGGGGGAGCAAACGGG